UGACCGGGUGUCUUCCGAGACUUUUCCAGCGCUUGAAACCCUGAGUUUGGACCUUAGGGACGUCUCGUUCCUAGUACUUAAGGGAAACCCGGGAAAUUAGGAUUUUUCUUUAAAGUCUUAUUUUUGAAGAGUUGGAUUUUUAUUAUCGUGUUCCUAUUUUGAAAUAGGUGAUCCGACUCCGCCUUCACAGCAGGCAGGACCCUCUCAGGGUCACGCAGCUUGGGACUACUUCCAGUAGUGACUGGAACGAGCCGCAGUGCCGUAUUUUGUGCUCCUGUUUUCACGAGCUUCAGCACUUGAGCCUUCUCAGGGCCUCUGUGCUAUGUAAAAUCGUUAAACUUCCUUCCUACUUGUAACUUUCUUUGAAUUCUGUUAGAUGCUCUGUUAUUGCCCAGUUAGAAUUUGGUAUUUUGAGGCCGGAGGCCAUGGUUUGUAACACUAAGCUUUGUGUA